UACGGAGGGAGCUAGCGUUGUUCGGAAUUACUGGGCGUAAAGCGCACGUAGGCGGCUUUGCAAGUUAGAGGUGAAAGCCCGGGGCUCAACUCCGGAAUUGCCUUUAAAACUGCAUCGCUAGAGUUGUGGAGAGUAAGUGGAAUUCCGAGUGUAGAGGUGAAAUUCGUAGAUAUUCGGAAGAACACCAGUGGCGAAGGCGACUUACUGGACACAUACUGACGCUGAGGUGCGAAAGCGUGGGGAGCAAACAGG
rnacentral:rRNA from 1 species